AACGAACGCUGGCGGCAUGCCUAACACAUGCAAGUCGAACGAGACCUUCGGGUCUAGUGGCGCACGGGUGCGUAACGCGUGGGGACCUGCCCUUAGGUUCGGAAUAACUCCCCGAAAGGGGUGCUAAUACCGGAUAAUGUCUUCGGACCAAAGAUUUAUCGCCUUUGGAUGGGCCCGCGUUGGAUUAGCUAGUUGGUAGGGUAAAAGCCUACCAAGGCGACGAUCCAUAGCUGGUCUGAGAGGAUGAUCAGCCACACUGGGACUGAGACACGGCCCAGACUCCUACGGGAGGCAGCAGUGGGGAAUAUUGGACAAUGGGCGAAAGCCCGAUCCAGCAAUGCCGCGUGAGUGAUGAAGGCCUUAGGGUUGUAAAGCUCUUUUACCCGGGAUGAUAAUGACAGUACCGGGAGAAUAAGCUCCGGCUAACUCCGUG
rnacentral:rRNA from 1 species